rfam:Schistosoma mattheei strain Denwood, Zambia genome assembly, scaffold: SMTD_scaffold0001014
AUCCAUCUGAUGAGUCCCUGAUAGGACGAAAUGCGCGUCCUGGAU